AAUAGUUCCUUUAAAUAUCACUUUCUUGAGCAGAACAAUCAUUACCAGAGUACAUUUUACAGACAUGACAAGAUUACCCUACAGUAAUGAAAAAAGGCACAGAUGUGGUUAGUGUACAGUAGAUAUUUUGGGGUUGUGAUAGUAGAUUGUAUGAAAGGUACAGUGUUCUGCAUGCGUUUUCUGUAUUAAUAUUGUCUUUGAGUUACUGGGUAGACCAUGCAAAG